CCAAGAUGGCGGCGCGUCCGUCGCGAGCGACCGGGCCGGGGGUAGGCCAGCGAAGCCGAGUAAAGCCGCCGCCCGGGAGAAGACUGAAGGAGCAGUUGCCGCCGUUGGCGGCGGCCCGAGCAGUUUUCGCUGCUGCUACGGCUGUUGCCAUGAGGCGAGGCUAGGGAGGACCGCACUUCCCCGGGGUGUAAUAAUGUUAACUGAGGAUGAAAGAAAAAACUUGACUGGAAGCUACAGAAAAUUAUAGUGGAAAAGGAGACAGACUGAGUCCCUGGGCUUAGAAGAUUUAGAGAUUGAGCCAGUCUAUCCAUAUGGGGAUGGGGAAGCCUUGGCAUUGUCCUUUUUCUGAUAACCUUUGGACCCUUUGUAAUAUUUUAUUUGACAUUUUAUAUCCUCUGCUUUGUGGGUGGGGGUUUAGUGGUUACUCUCCUGUUUGGAAAAACAAACUCAGAGAAGUACCUAGAACAGUGUGAACACUCAUUUCUUCCUCCAACAUCAACUGGGGUUCCUAAGUGCUUAGAAGAAAUGAAACGGGAAGCCAGGACUAUUAAGAUUGAUAGAAGAUUGACGGGUGCCAAUAUAAUUGAUGAACCUCUCCAGCAA
rnacentral:sRNA from 1 species